rnacentral:rRNA from 1 species
GAUGAACGCUGGCGGCGUGCCUAAUACAUGCAAGUCGAGCGAACAGACGAGGAGCUUGCUCCUCUGACGUUAGCGGCGGACGGGUGAGUAACACGUGGAUAACCUACCUAUAAGACUGGGAUAACUUCGGGAAACCGGAGCUAAUACCGGAUAAUAUAUUGAACCGCAUGGUUCAAUAGUGAAAGACGGUUUUGCUGUCACUUAUAGAUGAAUCCGCGCCGCAUUAGCUAGUUGGUAAGGUAACGGCUUACCAAGGCAACGAUGCGUAGCCGACCUGAGAGGGUGAUCCGCCACACUGGAACUGAGACACGGUCCAGACUCCUACGGGAGGCAGCAGUAGGGAAUCUUCCGCAAUGGGCGAAAGCCUGACGGAGCAACGCCGCGUGAGUGAUGAAGGUCUUCGGAUCGUAAAACUCUGUUAUUAGGGAAGAACAAAUGUGUAAGUAACUAUGCACGUCUUGACGGUACCUAAUCAGAAAGCCACGGCUAACUACGUG